UGGCAGCAAAGAAGAAGUUGCAACGGAUGUGUUUUGGUUAUGGCAGCGGAAGAGAGUGAUUUAGGAUGGCUAAAUGGAGUGGAGGAAGCUUUGUAUGGUGUGGCUACAACUCAGACGACCCUCACACAUGGAAGGAAGUUGUAGGGGAGGAAACAAAGCAUGGAGUGACUCUUGGAAAGGAGCAUUGGCAAUGCAUUUGAGCAGAGAUUUCUUACUAUCAUCCAAAAGUAUUCAUACAAGCUAUGCCAAGAGGUUUUAUAGAUGAACCUCUCGGCCUCAUCAAAGGAAAUUCUCAGAUCCAACUAAUUCAACAUGUGUUAAAGAUGCUUGGCUUCUAGAAAGCCUCAUGAAGCACGUGACAAAUGAGUUUUACAUGUGGAGGAAAUUCAAUUACUAAUGCCGCCCCAUGGAAAGCUAAGCACACCCCUCCUUGUGUAGAAAAUGUCCACUUUACCCUUCUCCAUGUUUUGGCAAAUUUGUAUCAUCUCCUUGGUCUCCAAGCUUCCAUCCAAAAAUAGCAAAGAGUACUUGACCUUGUGGAGAAUACUCAUCUUGAAGCUUUUUGGCCAUCCCUCUUGUGAUAGGUCCUAUG
rnacentral:lncRNA from 1 species